UUGUCCGGAAUCAUUGGGCGUAAAGCGCGCGUAGGCGGCCCGGUAAGUCCGUUGUGAAAGUCAAAGGCUCAACCUUUGAACGCCGAUGGAUACUGCCGGGCUAGGGUCCGGAAGAGGCGAGUGGAAUUCCUGGUGUAGCGGUGGAAUGCGCAGAUAUCAGGAGGAACACCAAUAGCGAAGGCAGCUCGCUGGGACGGUACUGACGCUGAGGCGCGAAAGCGUGGGGAGCGAACAGG
rnacentral:rRNA from 1 species